AGUGAACGCUGGCGGUAGGCCUAACACAUGCCAGUCGAACGGCAGCACAGUAAGAGCUUGCUCUUACGGGUGGCGAGUGGCGGACGGGUGAGGAAUACAUCGGAAUCUACUUUUUCGUGGGGGAUAACGUAGGGAAACUUACGCUAAUACCGCAUACGACCUACGGGUGAAAGCAGGGGAUCCUCGGACCUUGCGCGAUUGAAUGGGCCGAUGUCGGAUUAGCUAGUUGGCGGGGUAAAGGCCCACCAAGGCGACGAUCCGUAGCUGGUCUGAGAGGAUGAUCAGCCACACUGGAACUGAGACACGGUCCAGACUCCUACGGGAGGCAGCAGUGGGGAAUAUUGGACAAUGGGCGCAAGCCUGAUCCAGCCAUACCGCGUGGGUGAAGAAGGCCUUCGGGUUGUAAAGCCCUUUUGUUGGGAAAGAAAAGCAGCAGGUUAAUACCCCGCUGUUCUGACGGUACCCAAAGAAUAAGCACCGGCUAACUUCGUG
rnacentral:rRNA from 1 species